ensembl:lncRNA
GAAAGAUGUGGCCUGCAGAGAGCCGGCACUAUCUCUACUGCUGCUGCUGCUGCUGCUGCCACCGCUGCCGCUGCCGCCGCCACUACUGCUGUCAGUAGAGCUGCUGGGAGUGAGCCUCCCUUCUUCCAGAUACCCAGCUCCGUUGCGUAGUCCGCUCCCUGGCCCCGCACGGACCUCCCCGCCCCAGGGAACAAAAGCAGAGUCCGGUCGCCCUGUUCUGCAGCCAGAGGAUGAUGAGUCUAGAGCUCUGAACAGAGUGUGGUCUUCAGCGGCUGGAAGCUGCUCCCUGCCCUUUCUCCAUGAUUCCUGACUUGUGGCCCUGGCAAUCUCAGAAGAGCUUCACUGAAUUCCCUUGCGACCAGAACCUGGGGACUCGCUUCCCCCAGCAUCACCCCUGUGCAGCCUGGACACACUGACUGAACCAGUCUUUAGGACACUUCAUUCAGUAAGACAUGGUGGUGAACCAAGGCUCUACGUCUUCAUGAAUGAAAGACUCUUGCACAAGGCAAAGUUGUCAUUUGAUGGCAAGUGUUAGAGCUGACCACGAGAGAGGACUGACACAGCUUACCUCCUGCACUUAGUGUUCUCUAUGAAGAGACAGGUAAACAAGUACAUGUAAAGUAGGCUAUUGAAUAUGUAUGGUUAUGAUAAUGUGGGGGUAUCUCUAUUUGUUGAGCCUGAAAAAUUCUGCUUUAACUCUUUCACAGGUCUUACCACAGUGGCUGUCUCUUCUCCACUAGUACUGAGGGGAGAGAAAAAGAGCGAGGG